rnacentral:rRNA from 1 species
AGACGAACGCUGGCGGCGUGCUUAACACAUGCAAGUCGAACGGAGCACCCUUGAAAGAGAUUUCGGUCAAUGGAUAGGAAUGCUUAGUGGCGGACUGGUGAGUAACGCGUGAGGAACCUGCCUUCCAGAGGGGGACAACAGUUGGAAACGACUGCUAAUACCGCAUGACACAUUUGAAUCGCAUGGUUUGAAUGUCAAAGAUUUAUCGCUGGAAGAUGGCCUCGCGUCUGAUUAGCUAGUUGGCAGGGUAACGGCCUACCAAGGCGACGAUCAGUAGCCGGACUGAGAGGUUGACCGGCCACAUUGGGACUGAGAUACGGCCCAGACUCCUACGGGAGGCAGCAGUGGGGAAUAUUGGGCAAUGGACGCAAGUCUGACCCAGCAACGCCGCGUGAAGGAAGAAGGCUUUCGGGUUGUAAACUUCUUUUAAGGGGGAAGAGCAGAAGACGGUACCCCUUGAAUAAGCCACGGCUAACUACGUGCCAGCAGCCGCGGUAAUACGUAAGUGGCAAGCGUUGUCCGGAUUUACUGGGUGUAAAGGGCGUGCAGCCGGGCCGACNAGUCAGAUGUGGAAUCCGCGGGCUUAACCCGCGAACUGCAUUUGAAACUAUUGGUCUUGAGUACCGGAGAGGUCAUCGGGAAUCCNUGUGUANCGGUGAAAUGCGUANAUAUNAGGAAG